AUUGAACGCUGGCGGCAGGCCUAACACAUGCAAGUCGAGCGAGCGGCGGACGGGUGAGUAAUGUCUGGGAAACUGCCUGAUGGAGGGGGAUAACUACUGGAAACGGUAGCUAAUACCGCAUACCAUCAGCUGUGCCCAGAUGGGAUUAGCUAGUAGGUGGGGUAACGGCUCACCUCGGCGACGAUCCCUAGCUGGUCUGAGAGGAUGACCAGCAACACUGGAACUGAGACACGGGCCAGAGCCCUACGGGAGGCAGCAGUGGGGAAUAUGGGACAAUGGGCGCAAGCCUGAUACAGCCAUGCCGCGUGUGUGAAGAAGGCCUUCGGGUUGUAAAGCACUUUCAGCGGGGAGGCGGUACCCGCAGAAGAAGCACCGGCUAACUCCGUGCCAGCAGCCGCGGUAAUAC
rnacentral:rRNA from 1 species